ensembl:lncRNA
GCUGAGGAAUUUAAAGCAAAUCCUGACCUGCUUUAACAGAUCCCAAAGCACUCCAUGAACCACAUACGGUAGUGACUUCUGCCUCUGCUGAAAUAUGGACAACAGCAUGAAACAUGCCAACUCUUCUAAGUUCAAGAAACGGCACCGCUGCAAAGCAUCUUGGGACAAAGGCAGAGACAGUUUAGGCUCAUUUCCUCUCAUCCUGCCAGUCGGCACCACUGAGGGGAGGAUGGUUCUGUAUAUGGAGCUCUACAGCAGAAACAGAAUCUGCCUUCCAUCCUGGGAGAUCACUGAAAAUUUCCAUGGAAAUAAUCUUAUUUUCUGUUGCAGUAUGUGGGUGUUAGAUGUGAUUUACAGAAGCAUCAGUUCACAG